UCCUCAAACUCUAUAAAUAGGACCUAGUGCUCAGCCAUUUUCUUCAUUCUUCAAGCAUUUGAUUAGAGCCUCUAAGGUGCUAGUAUUACUAUAGAGAUAUACACUUGGGUUUGGGAUAAAAGCUUUAUCAUUCUAAGCUUUUCUAUUCACUUGGAAAGUGAGAAAUAGUGUGAUUUUGGUAUUAAGGUUUAGAUCAAUCCAUAAGAUCAAUCAAGGUUCUUGAAACUUAAGAUCCUUCUUGCUUGAUGCAGGAGAAUGAAUAUGGAAGGCGGAAGGAUUCUUGGCAACUUGGCUUAUGUGUUAAGGAUUAAUGCAUUGAAUGGACUGCGUGUCGAUCGAGGAUGACGUUAUUUAUUUUUAGUCUUUUAAAUCAUGUUUUUAUGUAUUUCUGCAUUUAGUAUUUUAACAAUUAAAGUUUAUGUUUUUUUUAUGUUUUAUAAACAUGGGAUCCCAUACCAUAUUUACAUCUUAUUUUGUAAUUUGCACAAUAUUUAUUUUGGGUUUUCAAUAUAGUUAUGAUUAUUUUCUUAUGUAUGUUUUCCCAAAAAUAGUAGCUAUGUCUAGUAGUUUAAUGAUCGAAGGUCUUAGAAAUAGUUGGGUCGUUACACUUUUCUUGAUAAAAAUAUAAGUUUAAAAGCAUAAAAUAACUCUAAUUCCUAUAGUUAUCACACCCCCAAACUUGUCUCAUUGCUCGUCCCGAAUGAUGACUCUACUCC